rnacentral:rRNA from 1 species
GAGUUUGAUCAUGGCUCAGGAUGAACGCCGGCGGUGUGCCUAAUACAUGCAAGUCGUACGCACUGGCCCAACUGAUUGAUGGUGCUUGCACCUGAUCGACGAUGGAUCACCAGUGAGUGGCGGACGGGUGAGUAACACGUAGGUAACCUGCCCUGUACAGGGGAUAACAAUCAGAAAUGACUGCUAAUACCGCAUAAGACCACAGCACCGCAUGGUGCAGGGGUAAAACUCCGGUGGUACAGGAUGGACCCGCGUCUGAUUAGCUGGUUGGUGAGGUAACGGCUCACCAAGGCGACGAUCAGUAGCCGGCUUGAGAGAGUGAACGGCCACAUUGGGACUGAGACACGGGCCCAAAAUCCUACGGGAGGCAGCAGUGGGGAAUAUUGCACAAUGGGGAAACCCCGAUGCAGCAACGCGCGUGAGUGAAGAGUAUUUCGGUAUGUAAAGCUCUAUCAGCAGGG